GUGAGGAAUAUUGGACAAUGGGCGCAAGCCUGAUCCAGCCAUGCCGCGUGCAGGAAGACGCAUCUAUGGUGUGUAAACUGCUUUUGUACGGGAAGAAACACUCCCUCGUGAGGGAGCUUGACGGUACCGUAAGAAUAAGGAUCGGCUAACUCCGUGCCAGUAGCCGCGGUAAUACGGAGGAUCCAAGCGUUAUCCGGAAUCAUUGGGUUUAAAGGGUCCGUAGGCGGUUUAAUAAGUCAGUGGUGAAAGCCCAUCGCUCAACGAUGGAACGGCCAUUGAUACUGUUAGACUUGAAUUACAAGGAAGUAACUAGAAUAUGUAGUGUAGCGGUGAAAUGCUUAGAUAUUACAUGGAAUACCAAUUGCGAAGGCAGGUUACUACUUGUGGAUUGACGCUGAUGGACGAAAGCGUGGGGAGCGAACAGGAUUAGAUACCCGGGUAGUCC
rnacentral:rRNA from 1 species